UUAACUUUAGACAUCAGAUUCUAGCAGUUGACUAAUAAUAUCAGCAAAAAGUGGCUAACGUCUGAUUUUUUUAAAAGAAAAAAAUUGAGCCUUAUGCUAGCAGUGUAAUUGGAGAAGGAGCUCCUGUUUUCCUGUUUGCCAGCUAUUGCUGGUUAAGAACUUUAGAUAUUCUGGACUAUGGUUUAUGGUUUUCUUGCAGAAUCUACAAGGUUACUUUCUGCCAAUCCCACUUUCAUUAUGAGGGGGAAUGUUUUAAUUUUUCAAGUUCUGUCCCCUCCUUCAGUUUUAUUAUUUAGGAAUGCCAAAUUUAACAGUGUUGCACAAAUACAGUCAAAUUACUUCCAGACGUGCCCUUUAAUGGUCAGGUAUUAAUUACACUGCUUUUCCUUCACCUUUCUUCUUUUGCUUUAUAGGGAACAGAAAAUAUAGCUCCAGUCUCUCCAGUUACAGUUCAUUGCCAUGAAAAGGAGGAUAUGAUAGUUUGCCCUAUGAAACAGGUUUACAAGUGAAAUCUGGCAGGUAGCACAACGACCUGUGGAAUAUGAGUGAUGACAAACCCUUUUUAUGUACUGCCCCUGGAUGUGGCCAGCGUUUUACCAAUGAGGAUCAUUUGGCUGUCCAUAAACAUAAACAUGAGAUGACACUGAAAUUUGGUCCAGCUCGUAAUGAUAGUGUCAUUGUGGCAGAUCAGACACCAACACCAACUCGAUUCUUGAAGAACUGUGAAGAAGUGGGCUUAUUCAAUGAAUUAGCAAGUCCUUUUGAGAAUGAAUUUAAAAAGGCUUCUGAAGAUGACAUUAAGAAAAUGCCUCUAGAUCUGUCUCCUCUUGCAACACCAAUUAUAAGAAAUAAAAUUGAAGAACCUUCAGUUGUAGAGACAACUCAUCAAGAUAGUCCUUUACCUCAUCCAGAGUCUACAACCAAUGAUGAAAAGGAGGUGUCACUGCAGCAGACUGCACAGCCUACAUCAACAAUAGUUCGUCCAGCAUCGCUGCAGGUUCCUAAUGUACUGCUUACGAGUUCUGACUCAAGUGUUAUUAUUCAGCAGGCAAUACCCUCACCAACUUCUAGUACUGUUAUCACCCAAGCUCCAUCAUCUAACAGACCAAUAGUUCCAGUUCCAGGUCCUUUUCCUCUGCUGUUACAUCUUCCUAAUGGACAAACCAUGCCUGUUGCUAUUCCUGCAUCUAUCACAAAUUCUAAUGUGCAUGUCCCUGCUGCAGUUCCACUUGUUAGACCUGUCACCAUGGUGCCUAGUAUCCCAGGAAUCCCAGGGCCUUCCUCCCCACAGCCAGUGCAGUCUGAGGCUAAAUUGAGAUUGAAAGCAGCCUUGACCCAGCAGCACCCUCAGGUAACAAAUGGAGAUACUGCCAAGGGACAUGCAAGUGGGUUGGUUAGGACUCAGUCAGAGGAGCCACGGCCACAGUCACUACAGCAGCCUGCAACUUCAACAACUGAAACGCCGGCAUCACCAGCUCAGCCCACACCACAAACACCAAAUACAGGCGGUCGGCGAAGAAGAGCUGCCAAUGAAGACCCUGAUGAGAAAAGGAGAAAGUUCCUGGAGAGAAACCGAGCUGCUGCUUCCAGGUGCCGACAGAAACGGAAAGUCUGGGUGCAGUCAUUGGAGAAAAAAGCUGAGGACCUGAGCUCACUGAAUGGCCAGUUACAGAGCUGUUCACUGAAUCAGAUUCACAGAUCAUCAUCUUCCUAUGAGAACUCACCUCUCGUGCUGUUCAGUAUAGAAAACAUCACAAUUUGAUCAACAGGAAAGUAGGGCAUGUUGAGGUUAUCUUUUAUCAUGUAAUCAAAAUUACAGUAUAUCAAUCAUCUUCAUUUUUAUGUCUUUAAAAAUACUCGGCAUCCUGGACCCUGAAAAUUAAAAGAUUUCUACUAAGCACACACUGUAAAAUGGUUUCCUGUGUUCCAAGAAUCAUGACACUCUACACAAGCAUUAGUUAAAUUUCUUGCAAAUACGUAUUCUUCUCAAAGUUGUUCACAGUCUUUAGACAUAUUCAUUUAAUGCACAGUCCUCAAUGAACUCCAUUAAUUACAUAAUUAUAUAUAGCACUGUAGCUUAAAUAAUCAAAGAAGGCAGUGAAGAAGAAUGAAAAAAAUUCAGCCAUAAUUCAGUUCUUCAAUGAAAGUAAUGUUUGGCAUCAUGUGAAUGCCUUUCACAUACACAUACCAAGUUUUGUAAAAUAAAAAUUAUGUAAGUACCAUAAACAAAAUGUUUCCAAGUGCUAAUUCAGUAAUAGUGAAUUCAAGCGAGAUUUUCUUAGUCUCCCAAAAGAAAAUCUGUUAACUGUUAAGAAUAGAGUAACUUGAAAAGAAAAUUGGAUAUCAGAGAAAUAAUUACACUGUACUUCAUGUGAAAACAUUAAUCAACCCUAUAUUUCCAUAAUAAUAACUUGACAGGCUAACACAGCUGGUCAGCAGAGUGGGCAGUAAUGACCCAUGAGUACUUACUUUAUAUUUAAUAGAAAAUUUCAUGUGUUUGGAGUUUUGCCUUAAUGCAGGUUUAUAGACAGUGUUUGGGUUAGUAGUUGUUUAAUGUUUAAGUGGCCUGCUCAGCUGAAAUUACCAAGAUGUCACAUUUCCAGAGGCAGGUUCAUACUGAAAUGCCUGCAUUGCAUUGCUUCAUGUAACAAUUCUGACUCCUAUUACUGGCUUUCUUGUAAUGCCUGUGUCAGAGAUUCCCAUGUCAGUGUAAAGGUUUUUAAGACUGGAAGCUCACUAACAGUACAUAUGGAUUUUGAAGAGGUUUACUUGGUUGGUGUAUUUAUUUUGUUCUGUAGAUUAACUUUUGUCAAGUUCUUUUAAAUGUUUGAAAGUAACUUCAUUUUUUAAGCAGUAUUUUUCAAAUAUUUGUUUAAGGGAAAUUUUCAAUCUAUUCUAUCACUAUUAACAUACAUAGGUUAGGUAGGCUGUCUUUAGUAUAGGCUCUGCUGUGUAAGUUGUCUUCAUGCUUCCUACAUUUUGAAGUUAAUUUACUGUUUUGAGGACUGUGUUUUCUAUUAAUUGUUAACUUGUUUAUUGAUUUUAAAUUUUAUUCACCACCUUGUGUUGCCUCUGUGCCUUGCACAGUCCUGCAGGGUGUAAGAAGGUAUUGACAAUGUCUACAGUGGCCACUGAGCCACACUGCAGGAUCAGAUGACAAAGUGCAUUCAUUAUAUAUCCUGUAUUUGGUCCAUGUUGCUUUAAUAGUCUUAGAGGGUGAAGCUUUAGAAGAAUGGCCUGUGUCUCUCAUGAGGUCACAGUGGAUUUUCAGUGAGCAGCAAUUGAGUGAUGGCUUGUAGUGAUGCUGCAGAAGCUGUUUAGGAAGGCUAAAUUAUGCAAGUAUGCCCAUUCUUUCCCAUAGAGGAAGUUACCCAAAAAGAAACAGGAAGAAUGCUGUUUAACUCAGCCACAGACAAUCCCCUAUCCCCAGAAGUCACAUUUACCUGCCUCUGAUGACACUUGGAGUAAUAACAUAUCACAAAUGUUGUCCCACACCAUGCUGAGUAAGGGCUGAUGUGGUCCCAUGGUCCCACUAUUACAUCUGCAUUUUGGGUGCAGGGAGGAACAGGCUGAUACAGAAGAAUGUGUCAUAUACUGUGUCUUCCCUUCAUGGGAAUGCAGAAGGGAAAGCAUCUUUUCAAAGACGGAGUGCAGGUACAAGUCAAUACACUUUCCUCCAGAAACCUGCUUUCUCAUGCUAGCACGUCUUGAAAUGUGGGAACAUAGAAAUUCUCAGCAGCAUGUGAGCUAUAUUACAUUAUAUUACAAUUCUUUAAGGAAUUGUUGAUGCCUGCACUUGGUUCUAUCUCACUAAUGAGGAGAGCCUUUCCCGUGUGAAAAUUUGAAAUUGUCUUUGUGCCACCUGUUACAAGUGUUUAUUUAAUGUGUUUCUUGGUAGCCUGUUUUCAAUAUGUUAGCCACAUAUUAAAUGACUACCACACAUUCACAUGUUUUGAAUGAGAUGGAAAGACUUGCUGUUGUCAUAAGCAAGAUAAUUAACUGCAAUAUGUAUAAGAAUAGGUUCUAAGCAGCCCCCCUUUACCAGUUGGAAGUGGUUCUUACUGGUAAUACAUAAAUGGCAGCCAUAGAUUGCCUUCCUGUGACAUUCCCCAUCCAUGUGUCUAGCAGACAGAACUCUGUUCUAGUGUCAGGAGUGGUGUGUGCAUUGUACAUAGUACAGUUGGCACAAGUGUUCUUGUUAUGGAAUAUACAACUACCAUUGUUCUAGAGAUUGCCUCAGUCUCUUUUAUAUAGGAAUGCUGAUCCAUGUUUUUCAAGUUUGCUUUAUUGUAAGAUAAUGUACUUGCCUUUUGUAUUUAUGUUAGCAGUAGUCUUAAUAUUUUUAAAACAGCUGACAUUGAUCUGUAAACUCUUACAGAAAUUUUUCAUAAACAUAUAAUCUUACUUCCACAGAUGAACAGUAACUUCAUACUUACAUGUGCUGUUUGUAUGUAAAAUUCUUCCUUAAAACAUGGGAGACAAGAUUGGCAAUCAGGAAGAGGUUUGCAGAAAUUUUCUGAGUUCCUUUGAACAGACAGCACUGUAUUUCAUGGACACUGUUGCUUCUGUAGGUUAUCAAGUGUCUUAAAACUACAUCAGUGUGGUUUUUUUUCUACCCACUCUGUGUCAAUUCUGUUCAGCUGCCUGUGUGGUAUCAAGAUUUGUGGCUCUUCAGUAAAUUACAUGGUGAACUAAGGGCAGACAGAGCUGGAGGCAGUAGUCCUGUGCUUUCUUAACAGCCUGUUUCAGGACAUGUAAUGCCACCUGGUAGAGAAUUUGGGGAGCUUUUGGUUGGGUUUCUUUCGUUGCAAACCUUUUUGUUUGCGGUCACAUUUUUCUUCCAUUAUAAAAGUCUGAAGUCAGAGUUUUGGGCAUAUUUCAGGUUUUGCUUUUAAUAAAAAGUUUCUAAAGAGUAUUCUACACGUAAAAGGACUGAAUAGAAAAGGAGACCUCAAGAGGAUUUUGCAGGUAAAAGGCUUGAAAUUUGUUGUCUUCUAAAUGGAGACAGAGAGAAGACACAAAACAGGAGCUUUACUUUGAACAGUAUGAUAUUUUAGUUACUUUGUGUAAUUAAACCUAACAAGUUCUGUUCUGGAAGAAUUCAUUUCUUUUGGAAUCCUUUAACUUGUAAUUCAUCUCGUCUCUGACUGCAUUGCCUUAUUUCUCGCUUGCAAGUAAAUAGGUUGACUUUCUUCUAGUUUAUUUUGCAGAUAAUUUCAGAUGCAAUUCAGUUUUCCUCUGUUGGCUUUUUUCUUUAGCUUGCUCCUAAAUGCAUAAACAUAAGCAUUUACUAAACAAUUAUGUCACGUGUCAUAUAUUACAAUAAUUCUUAUACUUGGAAGUAACUUCAAGUGUUAACAGAAAAUAUUUAUAUCCAAAAUAAAAUAACCCAUUAAAAACACAUAUUGUGUCCAGAUAUGGGGAUCAUAAACCCUUAUAAAUAAUUUGAUUCAUAAAUAUUUUUCUACUCUACAAAGUAAAAAUGGGUCUAUCAGAAUGCCAUAUCAUUCUUAAUUUGGAUUGUCACAUGCAAUGCAGUUACCUAGCACUCCUCAUCUCUAGACACCAAGCUGCUUUCCAGGAAAGGUAAGUAUUGCUGUCCUCCAGUUUACAAAUGGGGAAGGUGAAGCACAAAGCAGUGAAAUGAUCUUGCUCAAGGUCACCCAAUAGUGGAAAGGAAGUCUGGAAAUGAAGCCGGGCACUGGACUGUGCAGGUGCUGUCUCUUAGAUUGCACUCUGCUUCAGCAACAUGAGCUGGCAUCUCCGGAUUUUGUCAUUAUUAUCAAUGAUUCCUUCAGAGAAUAUGUUUAUGUAUGGCUGCCAAAAUAAGAAUCAGUCUGGAGAUCAACCAAUAUUUGCUACAUUAUUUUACAGUACGUAAGAUUUUCUUUUUUGAAGUCCAAGUAUAAAUAGAGUGACUGAAAAAUAAUUCUGCAUUGGCUUUUUGAAUUUUCUUUUAUAUUUUUCCCUUUUUUAAUGUUGGCUGUGACAUCUGUUAAAAUGUGUGUAGCUAAAUGUAGGUUUACUCUGAUUAGAAUUCAUCACAAACCCUUCCAGAAGAGUCUCUCAGUAGCUGGAUCAUGUGAAUGAGACUAUAUGUAGACUCUGCAUCUGCAAACUGAAAAACAUAUGUUGUAUUUUUUUUUUAAAACCCAAGCAUUUCCCAGUUAAUGUAACAAAGCUAGCCAAGUUUCAGCUAAUAUUUGCAUUUUCUAAGAUAAAAUAAAAAUAUACGUAUUUGCAAUAUAUACCGAAUGGAAAUUUCGUGUAUUUCAGCUACCCCUAAAUGAACAACUGAAAAUCCUAUAAAACCUAAUGCUUACCUUCAAAACGUGUGUAGUUUGAUCCUGGUAAAGUACAUAACUUUCUUCUCCUUUAGAAUGAAGUCACCCUGCUGAGAAAUGAAGUGGCACAGCUGAAACAGCUUCUUCUGGCUCAUAAAGAUUGCCCUGUAACUGCCAUGCAGAAGAAAUCUGGCUAUCAUACUGCAGAUAAAGACGACAGCUCGGAGGACAUCUCGGUGCCCA